AUUGCUACUGUGUGGGUGAGGCACAUAGUAAUUCAUGGACUGUUGUUGCACAUAUAUGUUUUUACCUCUAAAAUUGGAGCCUUGAUCUGGCAAAUUUGGAUCUGUAGCUUGUGCAGCAAUAUCAUAAAAAAGCUUCACAAUUUUGUCCAAACUUCCUUGGAUUGACUUGUUCUGAGCAUCUUGUUCCUUCAUGAACUUGUCCAGGGUGUGAUGAAGUCCAUCCACUUCCAUAGCAGUAGCGUACAAUACUUUCUCACCA
rnacentral:lncRNA from 1 species